UACGAAGGGGGCUAGCGUUGCUCGGAAUUACUGGGCGUAAAGCGCACGUAGGCGGAUUGUUAAGUCGGGGGUGAAAUCCUGGAGCUCAACUCCAGAACUGCUUUCGAUACUGGCGAUCUCGAGUUCGGGAGAGGUGAGUGGAACUGCGAGUGUAGAGGUGAAAUUCGUAGAUAUUCGCAAGAACACCAGUGGCGAAGGCGGCUCACUGGCCCGAUACUGACGCUGAGGUGCGAAAGCGUGGGGAGCAAACAGG
rnacentral:rRNA from 1 species